UUCCAGUUGACGAGUCUCAAAUAGGACGAAACACGUGUUCUAGAU
rnacentral:hammerhead_ribozyme from 1 species